UUCGAAAUAUAGGGUUACAUACUUAAAAUCUAUACAAAUUGGGGGAUUUUAUUACUCAAAACCAAAAACCCACGGCUGCUAAAUCUGCUGAACGGACCAAGGCUGCUGAACGGCUGAAGGAGAUGAACGGCAGCAAGUGGUGAACGGCGCUUGACGGAAGUGACAGUGGUGAACGGCGCUGGGUUCUCGGUUCCACCAUUCUCGGCGGCGCUCGACGGGCUGUGUUCUCUCGGCUCCGGCAAGUUCUCGGCUAGGACUCAAGCUAAAGAUUUUCUCAGCCUUGUACACUUGAGACCUCCUCGCUCGUGAAGGCUUCCACUGCUGUCGAGACCUCCACCGGCGCCAGCACCGCCUUCCCCUGUCGACUCCUUGCAGUGCUCACUUUGAGCAUUGUUUUCCACUCAAUUUUGAUUUUGAGUUGGAAGGGUAAACUAUUAUUGUAGCUUCCUUAUGUCUAGUGACACAGCUCCAUGAGAUCAAAUGAAACGCAGUUUGGUGGCCUUAGAGCGAAGGUUCGCAGCUGCAAAAGCUGACCUUGUUGUUCAGCAGCAAAAGGACAUAAAAUAUGGAAAAGAGUCUAAAUGUAUUGGUUCUUCAUCUAUGGCUCCUACCACAGUUAUACCCCCUUCUAA